ACGUAGGGGGCGAGCGUUGUCCGAAUUUACUGGGCGUAAAGCGCGCGUAGGCGGACUAUUAAGUUGGUGGUGAAAUCCCGAGGCUCAACCUCGGAACUGCCUCCAAAACUGUUAGUCUUGAGGUAUGGAGAGGAAAGUGGAAUUCCUGGUGUAGCGGUGAAAUGCGUAGAUAUCAGGAGGAACACCCAUGGCGAAGGCAGCUUUCUGGCCAUAUUCUGACGCUGAGGUGCGAAAGCUAGGGUAGCGAACGG
rnacentral:rRNA from 1 species